rnacentral:rRNA from 1 species
AGAGAGAGACAUGCGCGCAUAUCAAUAAGCGGAGGAAAAGAAACUAACAAGGAUUCCCUUAGUAACGGCGAGUGAAGCGGGAAGAGCUCAAAUUUGAAAUCUUCAAGGUUUUACCUUGACGAAUUGUAGUUUAAAGAAGUGUUUUCUGCUGAAGUUUUGGUAAAAGUUCUUUGGAAUAGGACAUCAUAGAGGGUGAGAAUCCUGUAUUUGACCAUUAUUUUCAGCUUUGUGAUACACUUUCAAAGAGUCGGAUUGUUUGGGAAUGCAGUCCAAAAUGGGUGGUAAAUUUCAUCUAAAGCUAAAUAUUGGCGAGAGACCGAUAGCGAACAAGUACCGUGAGGGAAAGAUGAAAAGAACUUUGAAAAGAGAGUUAAACAGUACGUGAAAUUGUCAAAAGGGAAGCGUUUGACACCAGUGUUGUUUUCUCGAAAAUCAAUUAAAAAUGGCUCGAUUUUGUAUUGCUUGAGACCUUAAAAGCUCACUGUACAUUUUUCGUGUCUUUUUUAAUGCACUUUUCGUUUAACAAGUCAACAUCAGUUUCUUUUGUUGUAAAAAGGGUCAUUGGAAGGUGGCUUUCUUUUCGGAGAAAGUGUUUAUAGCCUUUGGCCUCUGCAAUCGAAGGAGACUGAGGUCUGCAGCGUAGACUCUUCGGGGUUAGAUACAUUUGUGCUAAGUUAUAGCUUUUUAUAGACAACUUGUUGACUAUAAUUAGUCUUGUAGCUUACUCGCUUAUGCUAUUUUACCUACGCUUAGGAUGUUGAAGAUGUAGCACAUCA